GUCUGGCAUAUGAGGAACCUCAUAUUAAUGGGUAAUUUGUGUCUGAAUUCUUACAUUGAUGCUAUCACCUUGGAGAUCUGAUGCCUAUU